rnacentral:rRNA from 1 species
CCUACGGGAGGCAGCAGUGGGGAAUAUUGGGCAAUGGAGGAAACUCUGACCCAGCAACGCCGCGUGAAUGAUGAAGGUCUUCGGAUUGUAAAGUUCUUUUCUAAGGGAAGAAGAAAGUGACGGUACCUUAUGAAUACGUAUCGGCUAACUCCGUGCCAGCAGCCGCGGUAAUACGUAGGUGGCAAGCGUUAUCCGGAAUGACUGGGCGUAAAGGGUGCGUAGGUGGUUUAGUAAGUUGGCGGUGUAAUUCCGGGGCUCAACCUCGGCGCUACCGCCAAAACUAUUAGACUAGAGUGCAGGAGGGGGAAGUGGAAUUCCUAGUGUAGCGGUGGAAUGCGUAGAUAUUAGGAGGAACAUCAGGGGCGAAGGCGACUUACUGGACUGUAACUGACACUGAGGCACGAAAGCGUGGGGAGCAAACAGGAUUAGAUACCCCAGUAGUC